UGGCGGCGUGCCUAACACAUGCAAGUCGAACGAGAAAGUGGAGCAAUCCAUGAGUACAGUGGCGUACGGGUGAGUAACACGUGACUAACCUACCCUCGAGUGGGGAAUAACUUCGGGAAACCGAGGCUAAUACCGCAUAAUGUCUACGGACCAAAUGCGCAAGCAGCUUGAGGAGGGGGUCGCGGCUGAUUAGCUUGUUGGCGGGGUAACGGCCCACCAAGGCAAUGAUCAGUAGCCGGCCUGAGAGGGCGCACGGCCACACUGGAACUGAAACACGGUCCAGACUCCUACGGGAGGCAGCAGUGGGGAAUUUUGCGCAAUGGGGGAAACCCUGACGCAGCAACGCCGCGUGGAGGAUGAAGCCCCUUGGGGUGUGAACUCCUUUCGAUCGGGACGAUUAUGACGGUACCGGAUGAAGAAGCACCGGCUAACUCUGUGCCAGCAGCCGCGGUAAUACAGAGGGUGCAAGCGUUGUUCGGAAUUAUUGGGCGUAAAGGGUGCGUAGGCGGUGCGGUAAG
rnacentral:rRNA from 1 species